UCCUGGUUCAAGUGCAGCUGGAGCUGGGAGUUCUGAAUCCUGACUGACUCUGGACGAUAAUGCCUGAGUGACCACUUGAUUUGCUGAGUGAGUGUGACACAGGAGGAGACCGUGACACACAUCUGUCAGAGGUCCAGAAGACUAUUGCUGUGCGAAGUUGGACACCUGAAGUUUGGUGAGAAGUUGCAGGCAGAAAAUUUGGGAUCGGGCUCUUGAAUCUACCUAAUUUACAGAUUGCAGAAACUCACCAGCUUUUAGUUCUUGGCAACAUAAAUGUGACAAGCUGCCCUAGGGUGUGGAAAACUGCCCUACUAGUCUUCCUGCUUCCUUCUUGUAUACCUUUGUCACCAUCAAGAGAGAUGGUGCAUAUGUGCACCUAUGUUUAUAGCGGCACAGUUUGUAAUAGCUAAAGUUUGGAAGCAGCCCAAGUGCCCAUCAACUGGAAACUGGAGAAAGAAGAUGUGGUUUUUUAAAUAAAAUGGAGUACUACUCAGCCAUAAAGAAUGAGAAACUAGAGACAUUUAUAGCUAAAUGGAUGUACA
rnacentral:lncRNA from 1 species